UUGGAGGUUAAAUAUUAAAAGAAUAGGAAACUAUGCCUCUGAUAUUUUUUUUGUCAGCCUAUUUUUAAACUAGAUUCCAUGAGUCUUAAGGUAAUAUCCUAGAAUUUUUUUUUUGCGUGAAUUAAAGUUACCACAAAUUUCAGGUCCUUACCUUAUGACUGUGUUUGAUCAUAUCUUUGAGUUCCCUUGAACUCUGAUCUCAUUUUGAGAAACAUUUUGAGAAACUUCUUAACAAUUACAAUCGAGCUGUUAAAUAUAACAAACAUCAGAAUCUAAAGGAUAAGCACAGUGCCUAAUGUACAGGAGGGUCAUAUCAAAUACUUGUUGAAUAAAUACAUGAAUGUGAUAAGUGGUCCUGUAAAAUAUUUUUUAAGAGUAGUGACAAUGUUUAUUGGUACCAAUUGGAGAUGAUAUUUUAUAUUUAUUUUGUUAGUUUGUCACCUGGAUGCAAAAGGAAGGCAUUUUAAUUCCUUUCUAUCUUACAACAUUGUAAAGCAUCAAAAGAAGUAACAUCUCAAGAAAGAUUAGAAAGGAUUUGGAUCACGUUAACAUUCUAUGCAAAUAUUAGUAACAUAUCAACUGUUUCUAAAAGGAAAGAAAAUUAGUAUUUAAGGAGAGUAUAAAGUGCGAGCACUGUGAAGGGCAGAUAUCUAUUACCAAACCACAUGGAGAGAAAUAUAGUCUCUCUCCUAACUUCAUUCCAUUGUAUUGCAAUCAGUCAAUUAAGGUGAUUUUUUUUUUCUGGAUGUCUCAAUCUAGAGAUUUUGUAGCAUUUUGCAAAUGGGUAUGCUUCACUACUAUCCACAGUGUUCUCCCCUUUAGUAAUUCAUAUUGAAUAUAUCCAUAUUCAUAUGCAUUUUAUAAAACAGUUAACAGAAUCUAAAUAAGAUAUAGCCGGCUAAAUCUGGAAUGUGAGUGCUACCCUAGGUUAUUAGUUCAACAAACUAAUUUUGAGAGAGCCACUUAACCUCUCUGGACCUUGUUUGUAAGCUUUCUUCUAGCACUAUUACUCUUAUCUAAGAUCGAAAUUGAUAUAUGCAUGAAAUUCCUAAUGGAAUUUCAAUGUCCAUCUCAAAGUAAUUUUUUAGGAUAUUCCAUACAGAUUUCCUUCUCAUUUCUCUGUGUAGAUAUUUAAAGUAUGAAAUUGAUUAUUUAAACUAAUAUGUGGAAAGAACCUAAUCCAGAGCUUGGAAUAUAGAAAGUGCUCAAUUAACUGACAUUCCUCCUGUAUUUCCUCCCUCCCCUUAGUUGUCUAUGACUUUUGAACUCACUGCUCACUGACAUCUUAAUUGCCUGCAGAAAAAUCAAUCAUAUUUUAGGCAUUAUUUUGAAAUAUUUUAGAGUUUUCUGUACUAUUCAAACUCUUAUUACAAAAAUCUAAAGAUAUUUAUUGAUGCAAAAAAUUUAGGGAGUCAUUGGAAAUACCUGAGGCAAUCCCAGGCUAACAAUAAAAUAGCAUAAUUUUAAGUAAGCUAGAUUGAGUUCAUUUGAACAUUUAGUUAUUUUUUAGCUCAUAGUUAACAUAUGUCCAUGCAUUUGAUUUACUUUAAAAAUAUUUUAUUUAAAAAUAACCUCUCAAACACCAGUUGCUUUCUGUCAGUUUUACUCAAAGCAUGCUUCCUAGGUCACCUGACCUAGAAUCACCAGAAGUGUUAACAAUACCGAUUUCUGGGCUUUGAGCCAUGAAAUUAGAAUUUCUUCAAAUAAUCCAUGCCCCCCCGUCACCCAAAAAAAGAGCAUGCUUUUAAUACAUUUCCAAAAUUAUCCUGUUUCUGCUAUAACUGGUGAACCAUCCUGUCCUAAACUAGCAGUUCUCAAACAUGCAUAUGCCUUUGAAACUUCCUAGAUCAUCUACAUAAAAAUCAUUUGAAAUAUUGUUAAUAAUACACAGCUUCUGAAUCUCUGGGUGUGAGAUGGGACCAGGAAUCUUAUUUUAAAAAUCUCCCCAGAUGGUUCUGGUGUCCUGCUAGUUUUGAGGUUUUCAUCCCACCUGUUUAGAUGGGUAGUAUUCUAUUAAAUAUGAGGUAUUACCUUUCUUUAGUUCACCUGGAAUCUUCUUAAAUAUAUCGGUAAAGUAUUCUACUUCAAAAUCCAAGACAUUUUGUAUACCUAAUUAUUUCACACAAGAGCGUGGAACUCACCAGUCUUGUGACUUGGGGCAGGUUAUUUAUAGUCUCCAGACACUUUUUCCAGUUGCGAGUUGCUUAUAGUAGUUCGCGAACCUGAAUGCACAUUAGAACCAUCUGGAGAGGCUUUAAAAUUGCAGAUGUCCAAACCCCACCUCCAGAGAGCUGAUCUAUUUAGUUUGAGGAAGAGCCCAGAAGUCUAACAGGUGUAAAUGUUCCACAGGUAAUACUAAUGCAGGCAUACCUCAGGAAAUCACCAGUUCUCGUCUUGGAGGAACUAUUAGGAAAAUAAAAGAUUAUAUAUCUUGAAAAAAAUCUCUAAUUUGCUUUCUAGGUUCUAACUGCAUGUUUAUAUUUUGCAACAGGAAAGACUGGUCUAGACAAUUACUAGGAUAUAUGCUUCUGUGAUCUGCUUUUCUAUUGUAUGUGUUUAAGAGACCACAUUCUUGGGUUCCAAAGUCUCCUUGUCUGAUAGGUAAUUUGCAAUUGAGAUAUGGCAAAGAAUUGUAGCAUCCAAAUUUUUGACAACUACAGAUUUAGAAUUGAAUCCAAGGUCUGCCAUUCACUAGCUAUGUGCAAGUUACUCAACUUCUCUUAUCCUCAGAUUUUGCAGCUGUAAAGCAGAGGUAGCAUAUUUCUGAGAAAUUAUAUUCAGGUGACUAGAUAUGUGUUCAAGUGUUAUCUUUUAUUCUUAUAAAAGAUAAUUGUGAGGAAUCCAGUGCUAUUUUCACAAUUUUAAUUCUAAAACUCUGAAGACAUUAAACAGGCAGUUUGUAGGAAUCAUUGAAAUUUUAUACAAGCCGAAGGAACAACAUUCAGCAAAACGGAAACAAAUAAAUACAGCAUGGAAGCAUAUAUUCAUGUUUCCCAUAAUUACUAAGUUACGGAAGGGGUGUGAGGAGCUGGCAGUGGUGGUGAAUAGGCAUUGUUUGCAUUACUAAAUAUAUAUACCAUUUCUUAAGAUAAUUGGAACUCAAGCAGUCCUAAUUUUCUCUCCCUGUUAUGAGCAAUCAGUAAAUUUGUAGUCAAUUUAACUUAUUAUCAGUUGGUAUAGCGCAUGUCACAGAAUAGGAUAGCAAGAAGAUUCUCAGAGAUCAUUUUCUGGUAAAGAAAAAGGCCUAGCAAUAUUUAACAGUUUGACUUAAUCCAUCACUUCAGCUGGUCCACUAGUUUUGACACAGGACUAGUUAAUGAUUUGUUAGGAAGUCUCCAUCUACUCUUAAACUAAUUUAAAAAAAAGCUAAAAGUUGCUUUUAAUAUGUUAGGGUAUAACUUCAAUAAACAGGAGUAUUUAUCUAGUGGUUCAGAAAUAAAAUAAUUGUUAGCCAGCCUGUGAUUAAGGCUACCAUAAUUGCAUAAUAAAUAGCUUUGACGUGAAUAAUCUCAGUUGUUCAAGUGUACAAAUUUAAAGCUGUACUAUGUUAGAAUAAAAAAGUAGGCUCAAGGAAAAUUUCUAUUUUUCUAUAUGAAAAAGAGAAUGAUAUUCAAAAUAGUAUUUUUAAGUAGUUUCUAAUUGUGUUCCUUUAAAGAGUAUUAGAAAUGUCUGUUAUGUCAGUAACAUUAGAAAACUUCAAAAACUGAUUUAUUUUUCUGAGUUCUCUGGAAACCAAACAAUUUUGAAUUAGUUGUGUAAGUAAAGUAAGUUAAGUUAUAGCUUGCUGGAAUUUUAUUGUGGAAAACAAAUAUAGAUUUUAUCUGAAAAAUUUUAAGGGCCAAUUCUACAGAAAGUUAUGCUAACAUGCUAACUUUCCACACAUGGCUGCAUUCCAUUUUGAUUAAUGAGGGUUCAGGAAAUAGAAAGGCAGUCUCUGCAGAAGCAGUAUCCAAAGGCUAAAUUAACAACCCAGGACUACCACUCAUUAUGUGAGAAAUAUGGGCCAGAGUUACAAUAUCACAUCUCCAGUCUCAGAUUGGCCUCAUUAGCCACCUUCAGUUCCUUAAAUGAGAUAAUCCUGAAGAUGCCAUCCUUGUCCAAGGUGAGAUUGCCAGAGGAUAUGAGCUCAUCUAGGAUGGAAUACAUGUCUCCAGGGACUGUAAUGAGAUCAGGCUUUUCAUUUACUGGUUUUCUGCCUCAAGAGUCCUUAAGCAAAUGAAGAUUAUCUGAUUGUCUAUGUAAACCUGGAAGUAGUCUACUUUUUAGAUAAAAGAUAAUCUAUCUUGAAUAUUUCAUAUGUGAUUUUAAAAUAAUUAAUCAAAAAACAAAGACUAUCAUAUUUGAGAACAAGAUUUUACUUAGAAGGGAAAAAAAAGAACUUUCAGCUUAAUCGGGGUUAAGGGAGUAAUUGUGACAAUAUAAAAUGGCAUUGUUAUAGAAUCCCUAAAAGGUAAAUAAUGUAUGAGAUGAAGGUAGGAAGUAAUGUGUGCUUGCAGAAAUGCAACUGGUCAAAAUUACUUGAAUGAAAUUGUUGAGGUUAAACAUCUUCAUUAUAAUAAUAUGUCUUAUUCUGAUUCCAAGACAAUACGAAUGUAGAGAAGAGAUUUUUAAAUGGAAAAAGUAAGGAGCUAACAAGUCUGUACCUAGAUUCAAGUUCACAAAGCGGCAAAAAGGAGAAAAGUGUCAACAAGAAACAAGAAGAGGAGUAGUAAACUAAGGAUCAAAGCCCAAGUUCCAGUUUUCACAAUCUGCUGUAUAAUUCACUAACAUUUCUGAGCCAUAGAUUUUUAAUCUGUAAAAGGAGUGUGAUGGACUGUACAUUAGAAGUACCUGAGAAGCUCUUAAUAAAUCUUGAUGAAUUGGUUAGAAAUUCUAAUUUAAUUAGCCUGGCACAGUGCACAAACUGCCAUAUAUUCGUGCAGAUGUUUUCUUCUUUUCUUACUGCGCAUUUCCAUGUGGCCAUGUCACUACAAGGGGUGGGGAAGAAGUUAAUGUGUAAUUGCUUCAGGAGCUCUGAAUAAAAGGUUGCUGAAGCAAAAUACUGCAAUGAAGUUCUGAAAAUGAAGAGUUAGGACUUUACAUGAUUUCUCUUGCCUCAUUCCCUCAAGAAUGCACAUAUAGACACACAUAUGCCAAUAUCUUUUUUAUGUAGUUCAAGUAUAACUUUGAAUAAAAUGACUUACAUUCAAGGAAGGUCAAAACUAUUAUUCUGAAACAAAAUGUGACAAUUCUAGCCAUUAUGUGAAUUGUAAGGGUCAGUAAUCCAUAAAUUAUUUGGAUGGUAAUUGUAUGUUUUAUUAAUGUGAUGUAAUUUUGCACUAUUGUAUUGUCAUAUUUAAUCAAACUCUUAAAAAUACCCUGAAACAUAAUGCCAAAUGUACAGUUUAUAGGUUCGUGUUAUUUCUGAUAAGAAUUUAAUUGCAUUGUGCUAAUAGUUGUUUAUUGCUAUUAACUUUCUGUGUAUGUAUUAUUGCGAUGCAGACCCAAUAGGGUUAUUUUAAGCACACUAAUUAGUCAUCUGGAUUUUUAUAGAUAAAAUCACAUGUUGAUCAGAAAUCAUUUUUCUACUUAUUUUUUUGUAGAGUAUUUUUCCACACUUGAAAAAAACAUGAUUAUUUUAUAUCAAACAUCAACUUUUCUUUAAAUCUUAUUUUAGUAGCUAAUGCAUGUUUGAAAUAAGAUGUGUUAGAAAUUAUAUGACUAUAUUAAGGUUGUGUUUAUAUUAGGUGAAAAAUUGCAUGCAAUUGGUGAAUCAUGCAGCUUUGGGGACAUUUACACUGCCACUCACACACAGGCUCUGUCUCAAUCCGUAUGCAUGAUUCACGUCCUUUCAAAAGUCCCUUUUCAACAUUUGGUAAAGUGAAAAUGUUAUUCAUAGUGCUAAUGAGCCAAUAAACAAUGCUGCGUUUCUUUUUUCUAACUGCAGCAUAUUGUGGUAAAUUUUCUCCCAAAACUUUAUUUUUGGAGUUAUUGUUGGCAAUAAAUACAACAAAUUAUUUGUUGGCAAGUGAUACAAUUUACUGUAUAACAACUUAAUAGUACAAAGCAUGAAGAUGUGAAAAUAUCAUCUUAACCAGUUUCAUUCUAUGAACAUAAUAUUCUGGCAGCUUUUUCUAUAACUGAGAAUGGUAUAUCUUUUUAUACACUGCCUAAAUCAGUACUACUGCCAGUCACCUGAGGUCAGGUCUGCACAACACUAAAUUGGGCAAUAACAUAGAACAUCUAGGCAGUCUUGACAGUCAACCAGUGUAAUCACUAGGGGAAGAAAAAGUAGGCCUACCCUUUUACUUAUUAACUUAAGUAAUAAAAAUUGUAUAAAAAUAUGAAUGUUGGCUGCAGAGGAGCCUUUACAUGCAGAUAAUUUGAAGCAGUCUUUGAAAAUAACAAAAAUUAUUCCAUUUAAUGAAGGGUUUGUUUUGUUUAGCUUUUCUCUUUUAUUCAGAAAACAUACCUGUGCUUUUGAAAGGGCUUAAUCCCAAACAGGUAAUAUGUGUGGAUCAAUCAUCUCUCCUCCCAUGAAAUUAAUCAUUCAUGGUAAUAUAUUAAGGCUGGAACGUAGCUCUUAGUGACUUAAAACAUGACAGUAAGCAUUUACACUGUUGGAAGGUAAUUUCAUUGCUAUGUUAUUAAAAUGAUGGGAAUCCUAUUUAUACAUUUAUUUAUUUAUUUAUUUACAGAAGAUUGGUUCCUUCCAGUUCAAUUUAACAGCUUCAGUGAAGUUAGUAUAAUGAUAAGAAAAAUUGACUGUAGCUAUUAUUCCAAGUGAAAAUCAUGCAGCUGAGUCCUGCUGCAUCCUGGGAGCAAAGCAUUAAUUCAAAUGAGGAGUAGUCAGUCCUAGCACUGUAGACGCCGACUUUACCAACCAAGAUAGUGUAUGUGUGUGACAUUCAGCUAACAUUGAUCUAGGCACUUAGUUUGCUACCACAUUGUUCCCUUCAUUGAUUGAAACUGUAAAUAACAUAACACUUUAAGGCAGCUAAGCAAAUAUUUUAAUAAGCCAUGAAAGGCAAGAUGCCAGAGAAAAUCUGUAUAUUCAGCUAUUUGGAGAACUCGUGUUUUCCACAAAUUAAACUGGAGAUGUCAUUUGAAAUUUUCUUCCCUUAAACAUGCUGUCACAACAUGGAUUCCUUCUCAUGGAUGUCUUUCUAGGCUUAUAAAUAUAUGGUGUGAUUGCUAUAAUUUUGUGAAAUUUUAUUCAGCAAUUAAUAGUGAUUUCAGCAAUAUGUACUAAGAUUCCAAGGCAGAAAUAAAUGUAUAAAGGAUUUGAGCCUGUAUGUGUAAGAAGAAACUCUCUCUUCAGUCAUAUUUCCUAAAUUCAGUGUAAGUACCUCGCUGAUUUAGCACUGGAGUUAUUCCUUGAAUGUGUAAAUAAUGAUGUUCUAUUCUGACCUAAUGAAUUCCUGUAAUGUGAAUAUUUAAAAUAAAAGAAUUCAAUUUAAAUG
rnacentral:lncRNA from 10 species